UGUCAAAAGCAUCUGCCAAGGAAAGGAAGGACACUAGAGCCACUCCCACGCUUGGCGCACAGGUGACCAGACAAGACACGUUCGAGGGACAUCUCUAAGAUUUUUUUCGUCGCCUUCUUCUGCUAGAAAUUCAGAGAUACUGAAUCUGAGUUGUCGAGAGAGACAAGCAAGUGCAAAACUCACCAUGAACAAAGUUCUUCUUCUGACGGUGUUGUUGGUGGUCCUGGUAGGCGUGGCGUGGUCCUUCCCGCAAAUCAUAACACAACCUCGGAAAUUCCCCGGUGAGAGGCGCCUGGGAACCAUUAACUACGGGCAAUAUCGCUUCGGCAAGAGAGGGUACCAGAGGAAAUGCCACCCGAGAAAAAAGCACUGCAGGUUACCUUAGAGAGAGA